rnacentral:rRNA from 1 species
AUUGAACGCUGGCGGCAGGCCUAACACAUGCAAGUCGAACGGUAGCACAGAGAGCUUGCUCUCGGGUGACGAGUGGCGGACGGGUGAGUAAUGUCUGGGAAACUGCCCGAUGGAGGGGGAUAACUACUGGAAACGGUAGCUAAUACCGCAUAACGUCGCAAGACCAAAGUGGGGGACCUUCGGGCCUCACACCAUCGGAUGUGCCCAGAUGGGAUUAGCUAGUAGGUGGGGUAAUGGCUCACCUAGGCGACGAUCCCUAGCUGGUCUGAGAGGAUGACCAUCCACACUGGAACUGCGCCACGGUCCAGACUCCUACGGGAGGCAGCAGUGGGGAAGAUUGCACAAUGGGCGCAAGCCUGAUGCAGCCAUGCCGCGUGUAUGAAGAAGGCCUUCGGGUUGUAAAGUACUUUCAGCGGGGAGGAAGGCGGUGAAGUUAAUAGCUUCACCGAUUGACGUUACCCGCAGAAGAAGCACCGGCUAACUCCGUGCCAGCCGCCGCGGUAA